UCAAAGACAUGGAAGAGAUGAUGAAAGACAGUGACGUCUGCUUUCUGAAGAAGUUUCCAGUCUCGAUGGAAAGAGUCCAGAUCUCAUCACAGCCGGAUCCACAGACUCCUUCUGGAGCUCUGAUUCAUGUGCCACGAUACUUGGGCAACCUGCCCUUCAGAGUCUGGAAGAAGAUGCAGGACAUCGUCCAGAACAGUGAGUCUGAAGAAGAUCU